rnacentral:rRNA from 1 species
ACAUGCAAGUCGAGGGGUAGGCAGGUAGCAAUACCGCUGACGACGCGCACGGUGAGUAACACGUAUCCAACCUUCCCAUAAUCAGGGAUAGCCUUUCGAAAGAAAGAUUAAUACCUGAUAGUACUUUUUCAAGGCAUCUUGAGAAAGUUAAAGAUUUAUGGUUAUGGAUGGGGAUGCGUUCCAUUAGAUAGUUGGUGAGGUAACGGCUCACCAAGUCUUCGAUGGAUAGGGGUUCUGAGAGGAAGGUCCCCCACAUUGGUACUGAGACACGGACCAAACUCCUACGGGAGGCAGCAGUGAGGAAUAUUGGUCAAUGGGCGAGAGCCUGAACCAGCCAAGUAGCGUGAAGGAUUAGAAGGUCCUAUGGAUUGUAAACUUCUUUUAUAGUAGAAUAAAGUGAUCCACGUGUGGAUUUUUGUAUGUAUACUAUGAAUAAGGAUCGGCUAACUCCGUGCCAGCCGCAGC